rnacentral:tRNA from 1 species
UGAGGUAUGAUUCAGUGGUAGAAUACUUGCCUAGCACAUGAGAGGCCCCGGGUUCAAUCCCCAGUACCACAA